GCCCGAAUGGCGGAAUUGGCAGACGCGCUGGACUUAGAAUCCAGUAGGUUCACCCCUGUGCAGGUUCAAAUCCUGUUUCGGGCACCA
rnacentral:tRNA from 1 species